rnacentral:rRNA from 1 species
UACAGAGGUGGCAAGCGUUGUUCGGAAUUACUGGGCGUAAAGGGCGCGUAGGCGGCCUUCUAAGUCAGACGUGAAAUCCCCCGGCUUAACCUGGGAACUGCGUCUGAUACUGGAAGGCUUGAGUGCGGGAGAGGGAUGUGGAAUUCCAGGUGUAGCGGUGAAAUGCGUAGAGAUCAGGAAGAACAUCGGUGGCGAAGGCGCUCUGCUGGACCAUAACUGACACUCAGGGACGAAAGCUAGGGGAGCGAAUGGG